CCUACGGGAGGCAGCAGUGAGGAAUAUUGGUCAAUGGACGAGAGUCUGAACCAGCCAAGUAGCGUGAAGGAUGACUGCUCUAUGGGUUGUAAACUUCUUUUAUAUGGGAAUAAAACGUUCCACGUGUGGGAUUUUGUAUGUACCAUAUGAAUAAGCAUCGGCUAACUCCGUGCCAGCAGCCGCGGUAAUACGGAGGAUCCGAGCGUUAUCCGGAUUUAUUGGGUUUAAAGGGAGCGUAGGUGGAUUAUUAAGUCAGUUGUGAAAGUUUGCGGCUCAACCGUAAAAUUGCAGUUGAUACUGGCAGUCUUGAGUACAGUAGAGGUAGGCGGAAUUCGUGGUGUAGCGGUGAAAUGCUUAGAUAUCACGAAGAACUCCGAUUGCGAAGGCAGUUCACUAGACUGCAACUGACACUGAGGCUCGAAAGUGUGGGUAUCAAACAGGAUUAGAUACCCUAGUAGUC
rnacentral:rRNA from 1 species